ACCUCGGUAGCUCAGUCGGCAGAGCGCGUGCCUUUUAAGCCCGUGGCCGCGGGUUCGAGCCCCGCCCGAGGUG
rnacentral:tRNA from 1 species